GACGAACGCUGGCGGUGUGCUUAACACAUGCAAGUCGAACGGUAAGGCCCUUUCGGGGGUACACGAGUGGCGAACGGGUGAGUAACACGUGAGUAACCUGCCCUCAUCUCUGGGAUAACAGUCGGAAACGGUUACUAAUACUGGAUAUGAGCUUGCACGGCAUCUUGUGGGUUGGAAAGAUUUUUUUGGUUGGGGAUGGACUCGCGGCCUAUCAGCUUGUUGGUGAGGUAGUGGCUCACCAAGGCUUCGACGGGUAGCCGGCCUGAGAGGGCGACCGGCCACAUUGGGACUGAGAUACGGCCCAAACUCCUACGGGAGGCAGCAGUGGGGAAUAUUGCACAAUGGACGGAAGUCUGAUGCAGCAACGCCGCGUGCGGGAUGACGGCCUUCGGGUUGGAAACCGCUUUCAAUUGUGACGAAGCUUUUUGUGACGGUAGCAGUAGAAGAAGCACCGGCUAACUACGUG
rnacentral:rRNA from 1 species